UUUGCUCACAGUGCUUCUGGCAAGUAGGAAGUUCUUUUCCGAACUUGAAGCAAAAAGAUGGCUCUACCUCAAAAUGGAAGCCAAAAUGGAUACAUGCUCACUGGUUAUGAAGAAAUCCACAGAGAAGGCACAGAACAAAAAGAAGAUAUACAGCAUGGAGGUUGGUUAUGCCUGAAGCACAUGGGAGCUCCAGAGAGCAGGACAUCUCCUAGGCUGCAAAGGAUCAGCUUCCCUUAGUCUUUGACUGGCCUUGGUGUAGGGACAUCCUGAGGCUAAGACCCUGCAGUGUAAUGGUAUGCCAUAUGGACUUUGCCAUGGAAGCAUUAACAACAGCAAAGAGCGUUUCUCGGAAAUAGCGAAAAUAGGAGGAGGACUCCAACAACUCAGGAAGAGAACUGGGAAAGGAGGGUUAGUUAGCCUGAAGUCUGCAUCUCUAGAAGACCCCCUUUGCAUCCACGAAAGAUAAAGCUUCAAAGAUAAAGCUCCUGAAGGUGUCUAAGCUGGAUCCUGCCACAGACAAGAUGUGGGAACUGUGCUGAACCUUACUGGAGUUCUGCUUCUGAAGCUCAAAUGGAAUUGAAAAUGUGUAUGUUGAUCAAAGGUGAUUAUGGCUGAAUAAAAAUUGUAUAUC
rnacentral:lncRNA from 1 species